UUUGUUUUGUUUUUUUUGCUUUUCUUUUUUAGACGGAGUCUUGCUCUGUCGCCCAGGCUGGAGUGCAGUGGCACAGUCUCGGCUCACUGCAAGCUCCGCCUCCCGGGUUCACGCCAUUCUCCUGCCUCAGCCUUUCCGAGCAGCUGGGACUACAGGCACCCGCCACCACGCCCGGCUAAUUUUUUGUAUUUUUAGUAGAGACGGGGUUUCACCGUGGUCUUGAUCUCCUGACCUCGUGAUCCGCCCGCCUCAGCCUCCCAAAGUGCUGGGAUUACAAGCGUGAGCCACCGCGCCCACCAAGAAAUAAUUAUUAGCAUUGUUUCCUGGCCAUAAGAAUUUGCUUUUGAAGGGACGAACUUAAUUGCUGAUACUGCAAGUGUUCUGUGUAUAAUUAGUAUUAAAUAAAAGGGAAAAAACUUAGUCAUUUUUCUUUCUUCCUUUUUUGAAAUGGAGUUUCGCUCUUAUUGCCCAGGCUGGAGUGCAAUGGCGCGAUCUCAGCUCACUGCAACCUCUGCCUCCCGGGUUCAAGUGAUUCUCCUGCCUCAGCCUCCCGAGUAGCUGGGAUUACAGGCAUGCACAACCACGCCCGGCUAAUUUUGUAUUUUUAGGAGAGAUGGGGUUUCACCAUGUUGGUCAGGCUGGUCUCAAACUCCUUACCUCAGGUGAUCCACCCGCCUCAGCCUCCCAAAGUGCUGGGAUUACAGCCGUGAGCCACUGCGCCUAGCCCCAUUGUGUUGUUUAUUAAAGUUUGUGAGAACAAUACCAGAAUUAAAGCACCACACAACAUACAGCAAAAAGUGUACAUGCAAUGCAAAAUCAUCUGAAAUAUAUCAGUGAGAAGAUAAAUUCAUACCCACAUUGUGCAUGUGGCUGAGCAUUUCUUAGUCUUACUUUAAUUAGCUAAAAUUUUAAGGAGUCUGAUAUGACUAGUUGAAAGAAAAUUAUCAAUUUAGCAUCAUUAAUUUUUUAUUUAUACUAGACUCACCAUAUCUUCAUAUCCAAGUGCUUCUAUUUAGUAUUUUUGAGUACUUCCAGAUUUUUUUGUAGGCUGCAGUGAAUGACUUUGAACAUUUAUUUAUCUUCAUGUAUUUGCAUUUCCAUAGGAUAAUUUUUAGAUACAGAAUUACUAUGUCAAAGGGGAUAUAAGUGUAAAAUAAUGUCAGUUUGCCUCCAAAAGAACUCGUAAUUUACACUCCUACACUCCAAUAGCAUUAAGAGAAAGCUCCUAUGUCAGGAACCGUCUCAUAAUCAUCUUUAUUAGCAUCUACUCCAGUCCCCUGCUCACUAGCAGUUUCUCAUAUAGUAGUAAAUAAUGUUUUAAAAUACUAAUUUGAACUUGCUUUAAACCUGGAUAAUUUUCCUCUCACAAUUCCGUGGUCCAUGAUGUACAAGAAGAUUCCAUUUAUCAGUACAGCAUUGAAAUCAUCUUCCAGAUUAUACGCUCCCACCUAGCCUUGUGCUGCUAACCCAAAGGGUAUUUGCGUAAAUAGAGAAAUAUUUAUCUUUUUAAAGAUGGGGGUCUCACUAUGUUACCCUGAUCUUGAAUUCCUGGCUUCAAGUGAUCCUCCUACCUCAGCCUCUGGAGUAGCUGGGACUACAUGCAUAAGCCACUGCACCCAGCUGUUGGAACAUUUUAGUAGCCUGAAGAUAAUUGGAAUCUUGUCAUUGGAAAAAAUAAAUAGUUUGAGUCUAGCAGUGAGUUGUGCUUGCUACCCCUGUGGAGACAGGUUGGAAUAGCAGCUCACUAGAGGUUUCUCACGAAGCCUGGGGACCCGAGGCUGGUGUCUGCUACUUUGAUUUAAACCAAGCCCCCAAACCUGGCAAGGCACCAAGCAGUAGCUUUGGAAGUGGCUGCCUGGAAAUUCCUGGCCUACAGUGAUGAGACAAAGCGCCCCUAGUAUUCAGCUGGUCAAGACAUCCAUUGGCAUACCAACUCCUAUGUCAUAGCAGCAAAUGCAGCCUUCAAAGUUGGAAGUUAAACUGUUACUAGGUUAGCUGUGAAUGUAUCCUGUAUAAAAGUAACCAAAGCUGAACAAACUCAUAAAAAACUAUAGCCCUUGAUUACUCAAAGUGUCACAAUACUUGAGAGCUAAUGGCUGUAAAUGAGACAACAAGGAGCAUGACAUCACAUUCGUCAAAAAUUUUAUCUGUUGUCAGGGGAAUAGGAGAUUUUAGAGUUAAAAGGAAUCCAGGAAAUCACCUAUAUACAAUGAAGACUCAGACCCAGAGACCUUUAUACAUGCACCCAGCCUGCUGGUGUAUUCCAGAGACAUUAGGCCUGCUCUUUUCUUUUAGAAAGCAAUUUUUUUUUUUUUUUUUUUUUUUUUGAGAAGGAGUUUCACUCUUGUUACCCAGGCUGGAGUGCAAUGGCGCCAUCUCGGCUCACCGCGACCUCCGCCUCCCAGGUUCAAGCAAUUCUCCUGCCUCAGCCUCCCUAGUAGCUGGGAUUACAGGCAUGUGCCACUACACCCGGCUAAUUUUGUAUUUUCAGUAGAGACGGGGUUUCUCCAUGUUGGUCAGGCUGGUCUUGAACUCCCAACCUUAGGUGAUCCGCCCACCUCGGCCUCCCAAAGUGCUGGGAUUACAGACAUGAGCCACUGCGCCUGGUCCGUCCUUAGUUUUUAAAGAUGCAAGCUGCUGGGAGGAAGUAUCCUGAUGUCUAUAAUUUGUUUUGCAGUGCUUCGGCAGAGAUUAUGAGUAUAAAUAGAUGAAGCAAAUACAGCAAAAUGUUAACAGUUAUUGAAAUAUGUGGUGGGGGUAUAUGAAUGAUCAUCAUACUAUUUUCUCCCUUUUUAUUCCUGAAUGCUUGAAAUGAUCAUAAAGUCUUAUUUUUUAAAGCAGAAACUUGCUAUUUAUUUUGCUUUAAUUCUGAGUUCUUCCUCUCUGAAAACUUCCAAGAUCCUUGCAAAGUUCUUGCCAGCAAGUAUUUGGGACACCCACUGUGGGCCAGGCACUUGUGAGCAGGGAGAACUCAAAGAAAAAGAUGCAGUAGCUGCUGAUCUCAGAGAAUUCACAAAGUGAACCUCAAACCUCAAACGCUCCUGAUGAAGAAGGCAUGUUCUCAUUUAAAUAAAUGACUGAGGAAGGGGGAAUGCGGGGAAACAGCAGUUAGAGAUUGCCAUGGAAGAUGAGAAUUAUGGAAAUCAGGAAGACAGAAGCUGUGAAGUCGAAUUUGAGUUUAUGAAACAAAUCAUUCCUCUCCCUUUCUCUACUAACCACCAAAUACUACACAUUUGAAGAAAGUAGAAAACAGCCGAAAGAGCUGAGUGGCGUGGCACUUGCCUAUAGUUUCAGCUACUCAGGAGGGUGAGGCAGGAGGGUCACUUGUGCCCAGGGGUAAAAGUCUAGUCUGGGCAACCUAGCAAAACCCUGUCUCUGGAAAACGAAAAAUAAAAAAGCAGCAAAGCCCCACCCCUUGGCAGGUAAUAGAGUUGGGACUACAGCUGCAUCCCGUUGUAAACCCAUCUCCCCACCCCAAAACUGCCCUUCCACAUCCUUUAAGCUUUGGCAAUUUAGUACUCACCUGGAGAGCUCUUCUGUGCCACACAAGUGUAAGGAGGCAGUCGUGUGCCAUCUCAGGGCCUCAUAAAACUGCCUGUUAACCUGAGCCAAGAAGCAGGGAGGGCUUGGUUUCUAGCAAGGGUAAAUGUGCCUGACUCCAGGAAAAGAAUCAGUCAGACAACAAAUACAUCUAUUUAUAGCCUAAAAUCUGCUGGGCCAGCAACAUGCUAAUAACCAGCUGGGCAUGAUGGAGAGGCCACAAGCCGACUGUCAGGAUGGGAAGAGCCCUGCACUACUGGUCAGAGAAAAUAUACAUAUAAGUGCUGCAUAAGCCAAAUGGCACAAUUUAAAAUAUGCCUGCUGUUAUAAGCUGAUUUCACUACUUACUAGUUCAUGUCCUUAGACAAGUCAACCUUGCCCUUUCAGUCUCAGUUUCUUCAGCUAUAAAAUGGUAAUAAUUUUUUGUUUAUCUUGUAGAGCUCUUAGAAACUCAGAUUUAAAAAAUGCACAGGCCAAGCGCAGUGGCUCACGCCUGUAAUCCCAGCACUCUAGGAGGCCGAGUCUGAGGAAACUGUGGAGGGAGAAGGUACUCCCAGAUGACAGAUCCACUCAUUCUGCUAUACUAAUGAUAACAGGGGCCUCCAGAAGGAUGAAUAUGUACUUAUCUUACAUGGGGUGAAGACUGUGAGAGUGAGUAUUACAGUAGCUUCAUUAUUACACAAAUCCUGCUCUUGAAAUUAUUUGUGUAAUUUCUGCAAGCAGAUAGUCCAGUGCAGUUAUUUGGAGGUCACUAUGAAGGGCCAGAUAAAUAUUAUCAAAAGCCAGAAAAACUAGGAAGCAAGGCGAUAAGAAGGUCUUGUUUCCCCUUUUUUUUUUUUUUUUUUUUUGAGAUGGAGUUUAGCUCUUGUUGCACAGGCUGGAGUGUAAUGGCCUGAUCUCAGCUCACUGAAACUUCUGCCUCCCUGAUUCAAGUGAUUCUCCUGCCUUAGCCUCCUGAACAGCUGGAAUUACAGGCAUGCGCCACCACGCCUGGCUAAUUUUCUAUUUUUAGUAGAGACGGGGUUUCUCCACUUUGGUCAGGCUGGUCUCGAACUCCCGACCUCAGGUGAUCUGCCCACCUCAGCCUCCCAAAGUGCUGGGAUUACAGGUGUGAGCCACUGCACCCAGCCAAAAAGGUCUUGUUUACUGACUUCAGUUUAUUUCAUAUGUUUAUGCAACAGCCCUACCCGCUAAGUAAGAAAAAUGUAGACAUGCUUAAGAACUGGAAAAAGUAUUGAAAAGGUAUCAAAGGUUUAUAGAAUGUGCAGUACAUAUUAUUCAUAUUCAUUAUGAUUUUUUCUAAUCCUGAAGAUAGAAAUAUAAGCCUACACAGGAUCAAAUAUUUACCUUGUUUUGUGUCAAUUGGCUGGCUUUUUUUUUUGAGACGGAAUCAUGACAUAUUUUUUAAAAAAUGUAAAAACAAUUUUUUUUUUUGAGACAGAGUUUUCACUCUUGUUUCCCAGGCUGCAGUGCAGUGGCAUGAUCUCAGCUCACUGCAACCUCCACCUCCCGGGUUCAACGAUUCUCCUGCCUGAUUUAUAUUUUUCCAGAAUUUUCUAUGUUUAUAGAGAAUUGUACAUACAUACAUCUGGGAUAAUGUAUUACUUACAUUUAACAUUCUGGUUUCCCAAUUUAAUACUAUAUCAUGGGCAUGUCCCCAUGACAUUCUUUUCUAUAAAUACCAUUUUAAUAACUCUAUAAUAUUUCAUGCUAUUUAUAUUUCAUGGUUUACCCAGCUGUUCUUUUAUUGUUAGAUAUUUAAAUUAAUUCCAAUUUUUUAGUACUAUAUAUAAACAAUGCUGUGAUAGACAUUUUUGUCUGCCUUUCUGAGUAUUUCCUUAGGAUUUCCUUAGGAGAGCCAUGAAUAAAUUUCAUGGCUAUUCUUAGAGUAAUUUUUUUUUUUUUUUUUUUUUUUUUGAGACAGGGUCUUGCUCUGUUGCCUAGGCUGGAGUGCAGUAGCAUGAUCAUGGCUCACUGCAGCCUCGACCUCCUGGGCUCAGGUGAUCCUUCCACCUUAGCCUCCUGAGUAGCUGGGACCACAGGUGUACACCAUGGCUGGCUAAUUUUUUCAUUUUUUGUAGAGACAAAGUCCCGCUGUGUUGCCCAGGUUGGUCUCCAACUCCUGGUCCUCCUGUCUAAGCCUCUCGAAGUGCUGGAAUUACAGGCAUGAGCCACCACAGCCAGCCUAAUGUAAUAUUUUUCAAGAAUUUGACUUCAUUUAUUCUAUAAAUGCAUAAAUCUUAAACAAAUUAUUUCAGACGCUAAUCAAAUAAACUAUAAAUAUAAAAUAUGAACGAAUAUAUUCAGGGUCUGAGCAGAAAAGUUUUGAAAAUUUUUGAAAAUUUUUCUUUAGUAAGUCAAUUCAAAAGCAUGAAUAACAUUUCAUGAAGCAUUUUUCAAGUGGAUCAAUUUUUAUUCACUUUUAUAAACCCAUUAUUUUAUUUAACUCAUGGUUAUUUUGACACACAGUGUUUCUUUAUAUAAUACAGGUUAGGCCUCAAUUACUCAUUCACUCAGGUGCAGGUGCCCUUUCCCCUGACUUAAUCUGUAUUAGUGAGUGUUUGCCGUAUUACCUCCCAUUUAAAAAAAAAUAUAAGUCUAGGCUGGGUGUGGUGGCUCACGCUUGUAAUCCCAGCACUUUAGGAGGCCAAG